CAAUCGUUCAUUCGAUUUAGGCUGUGUUCGCAAGAACCAGAGAUUUAGGCUGUUCGCAAGAGCAGAGAAGCUUGAUUCUCACGGAUCAAGUGUUUAUCCUGUCAUUGUACAUCCAGGUACAUGACAAUUGGUAUCAGACUCGUUCGAUCCAUGGAGGUGUUCACUGAAACCCAACCUCAACAGAUCUCUGAAAUUCCAAAUUUAUCAAAUGAAAAAUGGGUAGAAAUGAAUGGAAAAUUGGUACCGAUAAUGAAAUUGGAAAGAUUAGCAAGUGCUGAAUUCGACACUUGAUGGACAAGAACGGUCUACAUCGAGAAGAUUCCCUUCGGAGGUGGGGCAAAUCUUUAGACAGGGCGGAGAAGAAAUUGGAUCAGAUCAUGUUUCUUAAGGAUACUGGUUUAUCUCAUCAACCUCCUUGUAGAGUGAAAGUUGCUUCUACAAAUGGUGAUGAAUCUUCAGAUUUGGAGUUGAUACCUCAAAUUUUUUUUCCUGAAAACGAAGAUGUUGAGUCACUUAAUGAUGUGAGAUUCCAGUCUGAAGAAGUUGCUUAACCUGCGAUGAUAGAUUUCUCCGAGUUGAAUCAAAUCAAAAUUGGUGAAGUGAACGAUUCUGCUCUAGAAUUUUACUUCAACAAGUUUGGGGAGAAUUUCGAAAAUCAUGAAUGCUUCAAGGAGUUAUUGUCUAUUCUUUACAGCAAAUCAAAUUCUAUGGCUCGUUCUUAUUUUCCACUUAAUGACACUCGUUCAUUAUUCGACAGAGGUAAGUGUGGCCUUAUUUCAUUGAAUUAUUCUGAGAAAAUGUCUCUUGUAUGGAUUUCUCGCUUUGGGUACCAAUCAUAUUUUCGAUCUAGGCAUUUGAUUUUUAGUUUGUCUGUUGAUGAUGAUACAAUUUUUGAUGAGAGGCAGCUGUUUGUUAGAAUAUUUAAGAGAAGAUUCGCUAGAAUAGUUGAAAUUGAUGAGGCACGAGCACUGUGGGAUAUCUUGGAUGGGGGUGUAGUAUGGAGGAGUAAUGGUGCUGAUGGUAUUUUCUGGAAGCUACAACUUAGUUUACAUCAUGAUUUAAGAGACUUCAUGCCUGCAGUGCAUUACAAUUUAAUUGUUGAUGUACGUCUCUUCCUUAAUUUCUAUUCUAACUGCAGUGUGUUUGAUCGUGGUAAAGAGAUCGACCUUAUUCUAUGGGUUUCUUGUUUUUCUACACAUGAUUAGAUCGAUAGGUUUUCUGGUUACUGGUGGGAAUUUUCAGAUCUAGUUUUUGUAAUCAACGUUAAUAUUGGGAUAUAUACAUAUGUACACAGUAACGAUUUGCCUCAUCAUAUGUCCACACUGGAAAUUAUUGUGUAGAUAGUGCAGCUCCAAAGGAAAAGAUGAAUCAGCAAUGGUCUAGACGUUUCAAAGCUGCUGGAGAUGCACAAGAAGCAGCAGAAGAGGAAGAGCUGCUGCGAGUAGAUUUUGCGGAGUAGGGAAGGUAGCUUCCUCCUAAGGAAAGUUCACAAGUCUGUGAUUCAAAUAAUAUCACUCCUGGACCUGAAUUUAUGCAUGUUUUUUCAACUCAGACUAAAGAAUGAUCCUGAGUGGAGAUCAGUUAAGGUUGUCUAAUGUUCCUGGUGACAAAAUUAUGUCUUGCGUUCGCUAGCAAAACACUUGCUGGUUUCGAUCCAAAUACCCUUCCGUACCUGUAUGGUUGGGAUAAAGAUUUGAUUGCGCUGGCAUUGGCUACGUAUGAACUGCAUUUCUUUAUUGUUAGAAGAGAGGACGUUCGUGGUAAAGAAUUAACGGAAGGUGCUGAACAUAGUGUGGCCAGAAAGGUUUACGUGAGCAUAUAUGGGAAAGUCGAUAAGUGCAGAAUGAUGGAUGUAAGGAGUAGUUGGUUAUGAUAGUAGACGUUUUACUUAAAAAUGUAUAUUGCAAUUUUGGUUUUCUGACAACUUGUUUGUAGAAUGUAUCAUUUUUUAAUGUAACAACUCGUCUAAAAUUUUAAUGCAAUACGUUCUUUUAUA